UAACUCUCACGAGGUUGGGAAAGUCAGUGAAUACAUAAUCUGACACUGCCCCCGCAACGGUGAACAACAGUCCGAAUGCCAACGAGGUG
ncrna:unclassified sequences AdoCbl variant RNA